CGCGGCCUAUCAGCUUGUUGGUGGGGUAAUGGCCUACCAAGGCGACGACAGGUAGCCGGCCUGAGAGGGCGACCGGCAACACUGGGACUGAGACACGGCCCAGACUCCUACGGGAGGCAGCAGUGGGGAAUAUUGCACAAUGGGCGAAAGCCUGAUGCAGCGACGCCGCGUGAGGGAUGACGGCCUUCGGGUUGUAAACCUCUUUCAGCAGGGACGAAGCGUAAGUGACGGUACCUGCAGAAGAAGCGCCGGCCGACUACGUGCCAGCAGCCGCGGUAAGACGUAGGGCGCGAGCGUUGUCCGGAUUUAUUGGGCGUAAAGAGCUCGUAGGCGGCUUGUCGCGUCGACUGUGAAAACCCGCAGCUCGACUGCGGGCCUGCAGUCGAUACGGGCAGGCUAGAGUUCGGUAGGGGAGACUGGAAUUCCUGGUGUAGCGGUGGAAUGCGCAGAUAUCAGGAGGAACACCGGUGGCGAAGGCGGGUCUCUGGGCCGAUACUGACGCUGAGGAGCGAAAGCGUGGGGAGCGAACAGGAUUAGAUACCCUGGUAGUCCACGCUGUAAACGUUGGGCGCUAGGUGUGGGGGACCUCUCCGGUUCUCUGUGCCGCAGCUAACGCAUUAAGCGCCCCGCCUGGGGAGUACGG
rnacentral:rRNA from 1 species